CUUUCACUUUUCACAACUCAAUCAUUGACUUCAUUACACAUAUGUACAAUAGCUUUACAUGUGGAUGUUCAUUUGGUAUGUUGUUGUCACACGGCGAUUUCAUGGCGUAAUGAAGACUGUUGGCAGAUUAGUCUUUGUCUCUGGGUUGAUUGGGGAAAAGCUCCGCCAUGUUCAACUUAAAAAAACUCACAAUUUGAAAUGUGAGGGACACGCUUUUAA